rnacentral:rRNA from 1 species
UACGUAGGGGGGCAAGCGUUGUCCGGAUUUAUUGGGCGUAAAGAGCGUGUAGGCGGCCAUACAGGUCAGCUGUGAAACUUGAGGCUCAACCUCGAGACGUCGGUUGAAACCGUUUGGCUAGAGUCCGGAAGAGGAGAGUGGAAUUCCCGGUGUAGCGGUGAAAUGCGCAGAUAUCGGGAAGAACACCCGUGGCGAAGGGCGGCUCUCUGGGACGGUACUGACGCUGAGACGCGAAAGCGUGGGGAGCGAACAGG